rnacentral:rRNA from 1 species
AUUGAACGCUGGCGGCGUGCUUAACACAUGCAAGUCGAGCGGUAAGGCCCCUUCGGGGGUACGACGAGCGGCGAACGGGUGAGUAACACGUGGGUGACCUGCCCUCAGCUCUGGGGAUAAGCCUGGGGAAACUGGGUCUAAUACCGGAUAUGACUCCAUGACGCAUGUCGUGGGGGUGGAAAGCCUUGUGCGGCUGGGGAUGGGCCCGCGGCCUAUCAGCUUGUUGGGGGGGGUG